CUGUCGUCAGCUCGUGUCGUGAGAUGUUGGGUUAAGUCCCGUAACGAGCGCAACCCUUGUCCUUAGUUACCAGCACCUCGGGUGGGCACUCUAAGGAGACUGCCGGUGACAAACCGGAGGAAGGUGGGGAUGACGUCAAGUCAUCAUGGCCCUUACGGCCAGGGCUACACACGUGCUACAAUGGUCGGUACAAAGGGUUGCCAAGCCGCGAGGUGGAGCUAAUCCCAUAAAACCGAUCGUAGUCCGGAUCGCAGUCUGCAACUCGACUGCGUGAAGUCGGAAUCGCUAGUAAUCGUGAAUCAGAAUGUCACGGUGAAUACGUUCCCGGGCCUUGUACACACCGCCCGUCACACCAUGGGAGUGGGUUGCUCCAGAAGUAGCUAGUCUAACCGCAAGGGGGACGGUUACCACGGAGUGAUUCAUGACUGGGGUGAAGUCGUAACAAGGUAGCCGUAGGGGAACCUGCGGCUGGA
rnacentral:rRNA from 1 species